rnacentral:rRNA from 1 species
UCGUGGAGUGAUUUGUCUGCUUAAUUGCGAUAACGAACGAGACCUUAACCUGCUAAAUAGCCAGGCUAGCUUUGGCUGGUCGCCGGCUUCUUAGAGGGACUAUCGGCUCAAGCCGAUGGAAGUCUGAGGCAAUAACA